AUUUGAAAAGGCAGAGAAAGAAGGGUACAUCGGGCUGCUUCAGGAAGACUGGAAUAGAGACCUUCACAGAAGAGAGAGGCCCCAUAUCAGAAGGAAGUGUGACCCAGAAGGAUGGAGCUCUUCAGAGACAGGCUUCUUUGAGAAUCAAGAAAGAUUCAGAACAGGUGAAUUGAGUAGAUUGUGGCUUUUGGAAACUGAGUAACACAGUAGCAAAUUGCAUAGCGUUUUAAACACUGCAACCUGACUUAAGAGAGAAUCCCCCUGUAAAGGUAAGGCUGAGGGAUGGUCAGUAUAAAUACCUUAGGAAAUGUAGGUUACCUCUUAUCUACCCCCGGUCUCUUUGCUUUUCUUGUUACUGUGUUGUUCCAUGUAUUUGUGUUUGAUAAGAAAAUGAACCGAUAUGUGUAAAAGUGUGUGUAUAUGUGUUUGAAGGAUAGACGGGAGGUUGUUGGUUGCCCAGAUUUACAUUUCUCCAGGCUUAAAUCACCGUGCCUUUUACAGUAGCCAAAAGAGGCACACAGUUCUAGAAGCACUGACUGAGGGUCCAGAGGAGAAAAAUUCAAAGAUGUUCACUAAUAGUACCAGAAAGACCUCAAGUCCCUCUGAGUCUCAGCUGUGGUCAAAGGAGGAAAAUGCCAUCCUAGAUUUUUCUGUAACAUAUUUGGGACCUAUUUGGAGAGAAGAUAGAGGCAUACAACUUUGAGUGCUUAUAGAAAACACUAGUUUCAAUUUGUACUGCAUGUCACCUACUGACCCGUAUUGCCCUCAGUAUGAAAUGUGUUGUUGCAGUGAUCUCUAGCUGCUUUUUUGUUGUCGUUGCUUUUGAACCCCAAGUUAAGUAUGAUGAAAACCUUCCAAAUCUGCCUAGAUUACUGCCAAGAAAGAGAUGGGUGCAUACUGAUCCCAUGCCAGGCAAAUGAAAAACUGGCAACAUCCUGGGAUGAGCUCUCCUGCUGCCAGUUUAGUUUUUGCUUACAUGUGGCCAAUGGUUGUCAACACUCAUGAUGAGGGGGUAUAAGCAUGAGCUUGUCACCUCAAAGGCUAGGUUACCAGAUUUAGCAUUGUUUAAAGAAGUAACAAGAAACACUAAAAGUUUAACAUCUGACAUGGUUGAAUGUGGCUACUCAAACAAUAAUUUAAAAGAAUUAGCAGUUCAAAAAAGUGAUUCCUGACAAAUUAUAUGAAGGAAAGCUAACUAAAAGUGCCAUCUGUUAUGAUUAAAACUAGGUAAAAUGUAUACAUGUAUACAAACAGAACACAAAAUAAUACAGGAAAACUAAUGAAGGUGAUUUCUUGGAGUGAUGGACAUCUGGAUGAUUUUUACUAAUUCCUGUUGAUGUUAUAAUGUUAUGGGUAUAACAAAUUUAAAGUAACCAAAAUUGGUGGAUUUACAGCAAGUGAUGGUUUUUUGCUUGAAAUACAAUAAAAACGUCUUAACCUAAACCAUUCUCAUAAUCAUUGAAUCAGAGUGGCCCAAGUCCAGAUUCUUGUAAGCUAAGCAGUUAUGUAGGAUGAUAGAGUGGUGAGGCCCCACAUCCCAGGACAAAAACCAAAACAGCUCAGAUAUGGUAAUAGGAUUGCUUAAGUGGGGUUUUUUUCUCCAUAAAGAAAGGCUAAUAGCUAAACUCCAGAGCUGAGCUGUUGAAGAGUUACAUGAGUAACUCUAGCCUUGUGGCUAGUUAGAAAGAGAAAAAAAUAUAUGUCAAUUUCAUCUGGGAAACCAUCCAUAAAGAUAAACAAUAGGAAUGGUCUAGUGAUGACAAAUUGUGCAUAGCAAAUUGACCAGAAAAAAGUCAAAUUUUUCCUUGGGAGCAGAUGAGUCUAACGUAUUGGAAAUAUACAUGUUCUGCAAAAGCAAUUAGAUCUGGAGUCCUUGAAAGGAGGCCAACUCAGCUAGAAAGCAGGAAGUUUCACUUCCCUAGACUUAAUGAUGUAGAUGAAAAUAUGGAUACUCUAUGUCUGUCUGUUUACAAUGAGCAGUUGUUUUGAGUAUUAAACUCUAAGAAGACAUGGCAAUAACUUCUGUAAAUCAUAAAGCCUCUAGCUUAGAUUUAGACAGCUUUAACAAACAGCAAGGUACAUUAAAAUUUUUGGAUCUAAAUUAAUCUAGUGGUGAAAGGCACAAAUUUUGGAGUCAUGUAGAUUUGGGCUUGAAUUCCACUUUUUCCUAUCUGCAUGAUCUCGGGUAACUUGCUUAAACUCUCUGAGUAUGUUUCCUCAUCUAUAAAACAAAGAUAAGGAUAGUCUCUUAGAGACCAUUGGGUUGUACUGAAUGUAUUCAGUAGAUGACCUUAUCUAUUCAAGGUAAUUUAAGAAGAAAGGAGAAAUAAUUGUAAAGAUACAGGGUGCCUUAUGAACCCCCAAGGACAUGAAAUGCGGUAGGCCUCAGAAACAAGUCAAUCUAGGAAUUGAAACAUAGGCAUCAGUGAGUACUGAGUGAGUUUGUCUUAGAGCCAAAUGGUCUUUUGUCUCUACAUCGUUUUUUAUUCGCUCUAAAGACUUACAAAUGGAUCAAAUAUAGCCUAUUACAGCAUUUAUUGGUUUUAAUAUUUUAUAUAUCCAGCUGCAAAUUCCUACAGAUAUAAAUUUGAUUAGCACAGUUUACUUGAUAUCAGGUGUCAACCUCUGGUCUAGUCAACUGUGACCUGGUGGAUCAGGGUCUUGUCAUAUGAAGGUCUACCCCUUCCUGGAAUGUGAUGAUAAGGUGGGAAUAAAGAAAAAGUGAUACCCAUCUCUAAAUUGAAACUUGACUUGCUAGGAACAGUAUGAGGAUCAAAUGAGAUAAUGUAUGUGAAGCAUCUAGAAUAGUGUCUACCUGAUACAUAGCUCUAAAAUAGUCUGUGAAAUAACGGGGCUGAUGGACAAAGGCCAAAAAAUCUCAUUGGCUUAAUCUUUGAAACCAUAUUUUGCUGCACCUGUCAUCAGAGAAAGAAGCUCAUAGAAACAUUAGUCAUGUCAUACCUAUGAACAAUUAUUUUCUUGUCCAAAGUGGUCACUCUGAGAAGGAGGCGUACCAGCAGCUGAUGUGCUCAGGUUCUCCAACCUGGAGAAUGCUUACAUCUGCAUCAGAGGCAAGACAGGGCACAAAUGAAAGCUCCUUGCUUUAACAUUGAAAUUUUAUUUACUCUUUUUCUUUUUUUUUUUUUUUUUUUUUGAUAUGGAGUCUUUCACUGUUGCCCAGGCUGGAGUGCAGUGGCAUGAUCUUGGCUCACUGCAACCUCCGCCUCCCGGGUUCAAGCAAUCCUCCUGCCUCAGACUCCCGAGUAGCUGAGAUUACAAGUGUGUGCCACCACUCCUGGCUAAUUUUUGUAUUUUUAGUUGAGACUGGGUCUCACCAUGUUGGCCAGGCUGAUCCUGAACUCUUGACCUCAAAUGAUCCACCCUCCUCAGCCUUCCAAACUGUUGGGAUUACAGGCGUGAGCCACCACGCCCAGCCUGAAAUAUUACUCUUAACAAGCACCUCUGCUCUGGCUAUGAGAAAGUAUCUCUCCCAGGCAGAAAGAAGCAGGCAGUCUCCCAAUGGACAAGCUUAGCUAAAACGCAUGCUACUACCGAAGAUAGGCAGUUUCAAUCCUGCUUGAAUUGGACUGUCAGUUUUUAGAUUUUAAAUAUCCUCUUUAAGUAAUGAAAUUUUAUAAAAUGGGUAUAAUGCAGCUUUUCUGCUGCAUCUGCAGCAGUUGUGGUGUUUAGAGGUGGUGCUGUCUAUAAAAGCAAAAUUAUCUCAAUAAACCUAAGUUCUAUAAUUGAUAUUGUAGGUAACUUUUUGAAAAAAUUAAAAAAUUCACUCACACUGAGUAGUUUCUCUUUUGUUGAUUUGAAUUUAUUAAUGUACCAAAUUUUAAAAAUGUCUUCUCUUGCUUAACUGUCAAGUUUUAAGAACAAAAAUAUAAAAGCAAAAAAGUUAGCUUCUCUCUGAAAUGUUUUUAAGUGAUAUACUUGUGGGAGACAUUACCUAAUAUAUUUCCUUCUUUUCUCACUUGCAGCUUUCCAGUCUUUACCCUUUGGGUCUAAGUUCUACUUUAGUCUAAAAUCAAUAUUUAUUUUAGAAGCAAGGGCACCAAUGCAGUUGUCAGGAAAUGUCUCAUAGAAAACCAUGAUGCACAGGUUCUGAGGGGAAAUGUACCUUCUUGCAUAUGUUAGUGAAUUGGCUAUGGCAACUUAUGGUUAUAGGCUGGAGAAUUUGGGGAAGAAACCCAGUCUUCCGCCUGGUUUAGAAUAAUAUCAGGCAUCUGUAUUCUUCCUUCUGGGAUCCAGUCCGCUUUGGUACAGACUUCCUGAAAUUGCCCCAGAUGAGCUUGAUAAGACUGUACCUAGAGGGCCCUCCCUGCGGGGGAGUAAAGAUAACUAUGGUUUCAUGGUGGAUGCAUCAAGUCUCACUGAGGUCUCAGAAUUGCAUGGGCAUUGUGGAUAUGGACAUCAGAAGUGCUCCUGUUAAACGGUUAGGGUUGGGUCAAGAGAGAGUGAAGGUAAUGGCUUUACUGCAGAUACUGGAGGAGCCUGCUCUGGGCCUUGCAUAAGAGGCCCACUGUUUUAUCAAUGCAACCAUCUUUCCUGAGCCUCACCCAUGUAUCCAGCUACCUUUCAGACUUUUCCAUCUGGAAAAUCCACAGGCAUCAGCAUGUCCAAAAAUUGGACUUAUGGUUUUUCCUACCAAAACCACGCGUCUUCCAUUGGUGAAUGGGGCUUCAGCCUUCAUCCACUUACCAAGACCGGAAAGCCCAGAGUUAUUCUUAGCAAUUCCUCUCACAGUUGUCUUGUCUCCACAUGCAGUUUCUUUCUCUCUCUCUUUCUUUUUUCUUUCUCUCUCUCUCUCUCCGUCCCUUCCCCUUCCUUCUUUCUUCUUUCUUUUUUUUUGAGACAGAUUCUCACUCUGUCACCCAGGCUGGAGUGCAAUGGCACCACCUUGGCUCACCGCAACCUCCACCUCCCGGGUUCAAGCGAUUCUCCCGCCUCAGCCUCCCGAGUAGCUGGGAUUACAGCUGCCCACCACAAUGCCAGGCUAAUUUUUGUAUUUUUAGUAUAAACGGGGUUUCACCAUGUUGGCCAGGCUGGUCAUGAACUCCUGAUCUUAAGUGAUCCACCAGCGUUGGCCUCCCAAAGUGCAGGGAUUAGAGGCAUGAGCCACUGCAUCCAGCCUGCAGUUUCAUUAGGACAUGUCAAUUCUACCUCCUAGUAAAUUUUUGACUUUGUAAUUUGCAGUAUUCUUGGGCUACCUUUAAAGUCCACCUAUUACAGUAUUUUUUUUCUGUCUCAAUUUAAGUCAUGGUUAGUUUCCUGAAAGUGGGUCAUUUAAAAAAUAGACACAUUAGUUUUCCAUAGGAAAACACAGCAUUUUGAAGUAUAUGUUCAAGUAGUUAAAAUAAAAUAGCCAUAUAGUACUUAGUAAUGUAAAUAAUAAAAACAAUUUAUAGAAAAAUAAAUAUAUGAAGUUGUUUAAUGAGAAACAAUGUUAAUGAUAGUGCCCAUACCAGCCACUGAUUUAAGCUGAGAUCUCCUCAAACCUUAAUGUGCUUCCAAAUCACUGUCAAUCUUGUUAAAAUGCAGAUUCUGAUUCACUUGGCCUGGGGUAGGGCCUGAGAUUCUGUAUUUCUGACAGGGGUCAAUGAUGCUGAUGAUGCUGCUGAUGGUUAGAAGACCAUAUUUUCAAUCGCAAGGCCCUAGCCUUACAACUCGCACUUAUGCUAAAUGUAUCUCAAGGAAGUCUUGCCCCCAGACUAUCUUUGUCUUACUGGGGAAAGUUUCAAAUCUGUCUCUUUUUCUUUAGUAUAGGGAACACUGCUCUGAUGCCUUGGGUCUGGUGAAGCAGCACCUCAGAGAGAUGACACAUUCACAUUUUUCAUUGUAGGUGACAACCUUUAUUUUUAUAGCAGAGGUAAAAGCUUCAAUUUGCAUGAAUCCCAGUGACAUUAAGUGACAUUUUACAGACAUGUAAACUCUUGAGAGGUUUAAAAAAAACAACACUCUAGAAAUUCGUGUGUUUACAGGGAAUGAACCUUAAAACACCUCAAUAGCAACUGAGAAAUCACUUUGCAGCGUGCUUAGCCACUCUCAGCAUGUGAACUUUUAUUGCCAGCAAAAGACCCCCAAAAUGUCAGAUGAUAUGAAUCAUGUUAUCCUGAAAACAGCACAUGAAUAUUUUUCCCAGAAUAAUUGUGAAAUUUUUCAUUACUUUAUUCUGAAAAUACAGAGAUAUUCUAAAAGUUGUAAAAAUUUGUUAUUUUCCUAAGAGAAAAUCUUUUUAAUUGACACAUACUAAUUGUAUAUAUUUAUGGGGUACAUAGUGAUGUGAUAUAUAUAAUGUAAAGUGAUUAGAUAAGUGUAAUUAGCAUAUUCAUCAUUUCAAACAUUUACCAUUUCUUUGUGUUGGGAACAUUCAAUAUCCUUUAUUAGCUAUUUUGAACCUAUGUAACAUAGUAUUGUUAGCCAUAGUCAUCAUACAGUGGUAUAGAACACUAGAACUUAUUCCUCCUGUCUAGCUCUAGAUUUAUAAAAAUUUUUACACAAGAUAAUGCAAUUUAUGUGUUUUCACUUUGCUCUUUUUUAACUUAAUGGUCUUUGGUUUUCUCAUGUACUAGCGUGUAUAUAUGUGUGUGUGUGUGUGCAUAUGUGUGUUAGUUUUUAGCAUAUGCAGUAAUACCUACAUAAUGCUUAUUUUCAUACCUUUGUAUGUAUUCUGAAAUUGUAUGUAAAAUUUUUUGGCCUGAGGUAGAG
rnacentral:lncRNA from 1 species